UUUCCUGUCGUGUUGUCCUCCAGGUGGAACAGCUUCCGCCUGCAGCGGAAGCAGUGUUGCUAACAUUAGCAGAGCCCACAGCGAUGGCAAUCUUUCCAGCGCUGCCGAACGCAUCAGAGACUCCAAAAAACGUUCGAAGCAGCGCAAGCUCCAGCAGAAGGCUCUGCGCAAGCGUCAGCUGAAGGAACAGCGUCAGGCCCGCAAGGAGCGUCUGAGCGGCCUGUUCCUUAAUGAGGAGGUGCUAUCGCUGCGGGUAACCGAGGAAGAUGACCACGGUGACGACCUGGACAUACUCAUGUGACACCAGUGAAGGAAUCAGUGCUCCCUCUAACGCCUACUCUUGCCACUGUAGAGAUUAGCAUGCUUACUUAGUUUAGUGUCAGACAACGCCACCCUUUGACUUUGCUGUUACGAAGAUCUUCGAGGAGCGAGUGAUAAACAUGGUCACUUUGACAGGGUUUGACGAUUCCUUCCAAAACGUGGGGGAUAUUUGGGCUGACGUGACAUUUCAGCAUGAAACUAAAAUGCACUUUAACUGUGCAGGUGGAAUAUUAAUUCUUAAUGUGUCCCAAAUAGGGUAACACAGUAAACUCCACGCACCUCCCCAAAAUAAAAUAAUUAUUAUUGUGCAAAAAAAAAAAAAAAAAAAAAAAUAUCGCCCUCUACUGUUGUCUGAAAAUGACAUCAAGGUGCCAUCGCGAACUUCAACAGUUCACCUGUUUUCUGGCUUUGGCCUCGUGGUGUUCACAAUGCAAACCUGAGGGAAGGUUGACAUUAAUUUCAUUGGACAGCACAGGACGGUAUAAGAUAAACUGGCAGAGUUCUGAGAUGAAUGAUUCAUCUGUGUUAUUCUGAUUCCUCCAACACAAUUUUAAUCAAAUGACCAUCUAUAAUUGUAAAGAUUUUUUUUUUUUGCCAUGAUGUCCCCUUUAAGAG